GACGAACGCUGGCGGCGUGCUUAACACAUGCAAGUCGAGCGGUAAGGCCCUUUCGGGGGUACACGAGCGGCGAACGGGUGAGUAACACGUGGGUGACCUGCCCUUAGCUCUGGGAUAAGCCUGGGAAACUGGGUCUAAUACCGGAUAUGACUCCAUGACGCAUGUUGUGGGGUGGAAAGCCUUGUGCGGCUAGGGAUGGGCCCGCGGCCUAUCAGCUUGUUGGUGGGGUGAUGGCCUACCAAGGCGACGACGGGUAGCCGGCCUGAGAGGGCGACCGGCCACACUGGGACUGAGACACGGCCCAGACUCCUACGGGAGGCAGCAGUGGGGAAUCUUGCGCAAUGGGCGAAAGCCUGACGCAGCGACGCCGCGUGAGGGAUGACGGCCUCGGUUGUAACU
rnacentral:rRNA from 1 species